UUGCAACACAGUGUAACAAGAGUUGUGAUGACGAAAGUGAGGGCACCCGUCCCUCCUUGGGAGAGUCCAGGAAGGCGUCGCGGAAGGACCCCUUCACACAGCAGUGAGGGAAGGAGGGUGGGAUGCAACCGUUUAGAAGAUCUGAUAACGAAAGGCUCCUGGUACCUUUCAGGACACAGUAAAUGUGUUGAGGAGGUGGGAGGGGCAGAAGCUUGAGGGAAAAGAAGGAGGUUUAACAGAGUUUUGAGCCGUUUGAGAGGAAGCUGACUCGAAGGACCGAUGAUGUAAACUCGACAAGGACAGGGAGUUUUGUUUUUCUCGCUGAUGUGUCCCAAAUGCUUGGAGCAAUGACUAUGAUACUUUACCCAAACUCCUCUGGUUUCAACUUGGAUGUGGACAAUGCACAGGUGAUGGAGUUUUUGGAAGCGAUCUACUUGCCCUUAACUUGUGUCCUAGGACAAAGCCACGAAACAAACAUCCCCUCCUUUGUUCCCAAGUGAUGUUUUGUACUUUGUACCGGGUCAAAAACUACGGGUCUUGUUCAUUAGACCUAAGUCCCUGGGCUGGGAGAGUCACUGCUCGGAUUGGUAUGUCCCCAGUCUUACCUCCCUUCAUUGAUGCAUGUAUGCUUUGGAUCUCCCAAGGCCCUCUCAGCGUUUGGGGCUACAUUCUUUUUCCGCUUUUUCCUUGGGGCCUGAAGCUUAUGGCCACAGGGCUUCUACUGACCCAUGCGUCUCCAGAGCUGGGGAUGCUUUGACCUUGACUAUCUCCCUCAACUGUUUAAUCCUUGAAAGAAUUCCAAUUCAUUCCUAAAUUGAUCUCCAUCAUCAUAUUUCUAAAGUGGAAACUCAACUUAGAGAAGGUCCCCUCCCGCUUUGGGGUUUCUGGAUAGUAGAGCUGAGGAAAGCAUGUCUACCUGCAUCCACAUAUCUGGCUAGAGGAUCUCCCCAGAGAUACAACCUGAUGGGCAAAGAGAGAUGUCUCCUGCUGGACAUCACAGUACGAGAAGAGUUACUAUGUCAGACAUCAAAGAAAGAAUGCAGUCAAUCCUCAGUGAGAAGGCCUCACCAGGUAAUGUUAACAGCUAACACAACAGUAAACCCGUGCCUCCCAAGUCAAAAGGCAUCAGCCACACGAAAUCCCUGGGAGGCUGUCCUGAGACCUCACACAGAGAAAUCUGAGGAAUCAUUCCAGAACAGAGAACAGCAGGAAGUGGCACCUUCCACCUAAGACUACUGAGACCACACUGCUAACCACAGGAAGUGUCACCUUCUGUCAAGAUCCACCAGAGCCACCCAUUGCGGUGCUUUAAUCUGCAUGUGCUUUUGCUCUUUUCCUU